GCCCGCGUUGUCUAAUGGCUAUGACGUCAGACUUCUAAUCGUUACGAUUGUGAUCUGGAGGUUGCGGGUUCGAGUCCCGCCGUGGGUU